rnacentral:rRNA from 1 species
UACGUAGGGGGCAAGCGUUGUCCGGAAUCAUUGGGCGUAAAGCGCGCGUAGGCGGCCCGGUAAGUCCGUUGUGAAAGCCCGGGGCUUAACCCCGGGUCUGCAGUGGAUACGGGCAGGCUAGAGGUAGGUAGGGGAGAAUGGAAUUCCCGGUGUAGCGGUGAAAUGCGCAGAUAUCGGGAGGAACACCGGUGGCGAAGGCGGUUCUCUGGGCCUUACCUGACGCUGAGGAGCGAAAGCGUGGGGAGCGAACAGG